AUUGAACGCUGGCGGCAGGCCUAACACAUGCAAGUCGAGCUGAUGAAGGGAGCUUGCUCCUGGAUUCAGCGGCGGACGGGUGAGUAAUGCCUAGGAAUCUGCCUGGUAGUGGGGGAUAACGUCCGGAAACGGGCGCUAAUACCGCAUACGUCCUGAGGGAGAAAGUGGGGGAUCUUCGGACCUCACGCUAUCAGAUGAGCCUAGGUCGGAUUAGCUAGUUGGUGGGGUAAGGGCCUACCAAGGCGACGAUCCGUAACUGGUCUGAGAGGAUGAUCAGUCACACUGGAACUGAGACACGGUCCAGACUCCUACGGGAGGCAGCAGUGGGGAAUAUUGGACAAUGGGCGAAAGCCUGAUCCAGCCAUGCCGCGUGUGUGAAGAAGGUCUUCGGAUUGUAAAGCACUUUAAGUUGGGAGGAAGGGCAGUAAGUUAAUACCUUGCUGUUUUGACGUUACCAACAGAAUAAGCACCGGCUAACUUCGUG
rnacentral:rRNA from 1 species